GCCCCGUCCUCCCCCGACGACCCCCCGGACAUGUCCAUCACCGUCGGCGGCCGGACGAUCUCCCCGGCCUUUCCGGUGGUGGACGCCUCCCCCCCGUCCGCCUCCGACCUGGCGCUCACCUCCAGCCUGCGCGCGUACAUGGACGGCCACAUCCCCG
rnacentral:ribozyme from 1 species